GGUGAUUGGAUCAUGGAGGCAGUUUCUCAUGAAUGGUUUAGCACUAUCUCCUUGGUGCUAUUCUCACGAUAGUGAGUUCUCAUGAAAUCUGAUCAUUUAAAAGUGAGUAGAACCUCCCCCAUCUCUCUCUCUUGCUUCUGCUCCUGCCAUGUGAGACGCCUCACUCCCUCUUUGUCUUCUGCCAUGACUGGAAGAUUCCUGAGGCCUCCCUAGAAGCAGAAGCCACUGUGCUUCCUGUACAGCCUUCAGAACUGUUUUUGUUGUUGUUCUACAUGCAUUUUUGACAUGUUACGUAUUGGCAUCUCCUUCGGACCUGUUGCCAACCAACUGAAUCUAUUUCCAUCAACACUCAAGGCUGCAACAUGCAGAUGCAAUGCUCAUCUUUGCUCCUUUCUUGCUUCUCUGACACUUUCCUGAGUCUCAUGUAGCCCCAGCUGUGCCACAUUGUGUGUUCUUGCAUUGGGAAGUGGUGAUCUAGACCAACCUCACCAUUCCUCAGCAGCUUUCUUUAAAUCCCUGCCUUCCUUUCAUUUAUUCCGCUUUUUGUGCUUCUCCUGGGUUCUGCAUUGCUCACACCUGUUUCUCUCCUGCUGGGAACAUCUCAUUCUCCCCUCCACCCUGUCUCCAUCUUUGGUGGCAAGAUCCUCGCUGAUCCUGCGAGGCAGGCUGGGCCGGCACUGCUAGCUCAUUUGGCAGAGAAAGAAACCUGCAGACCUGGCAACUCUAUGAUUUGCUCAAGUUUUCAUAGCAAGUACUCGUGGUUCCUCUCAGGGGAUCCCACUGAAAACAUGAUGGGAAAAGCGCUGGAUUUAGUGUCUGCAGAUCCAAGUUGAAAUCCUGAAUCGGUGCAUUUAGUAAUUGACAAACUUGAGGAAGGCAGUGACCUCCCAGAGGUGAUUUUCCUCCUCCGCAAAACAGACAUUCAACAUUGCCUCCUUCACAAGGUUGUUAGGAGAAUCAAAAGUUUCUUUCUCAUAAAAGAAAAUGCUGGCUAAGUUGUUAACUUUAUAAUUAUACGCUGCCAAAAUGUGCACCUGUCUAGGAGCACUGUGCAAGGAGUCCAGAGAAUCUUCUUCGGGUCAUCCCUUCUUUUCCUGUGUCUCUCCUCUUUUUCCUCUUUGCUUUCUAUCUCUAUGGGAAGAAUUUUAUUCCUGUGUCAUAUUGUUUUCAGGCUUAAUUAUCUAAUGACAAUUACUUACUUACCCUUGGGAUAUCAUCUUGCUUCAUUCUGCAUUUCUGAUUUUAUCUGAUGGGAUUGAUUCAGAGAAAUAGUUUUGAGUAUUUGCCCCAGAUUUUAAAAAUUCGAAUUAUAUCUCUCCUUUUAAGUGAGUUGUGGGGGCAGGAGGUGGUCACAGUUCAAUGCACAACUAGUUCAAUCUCUUUGCUCCUAUCAGAACUUUAAAGAAGUUUUUUUUUUUUUUUUUUUACCAUUUGGCUUUAAAUUUACUGCUACAAUAAAUUUAAUGUUAACCACUUCCUUUAAUCCAUUUCAUUGGUCACUUUGGUCAGGUGAAUCAUUCUGAUGAUGCCUGUGCAAUGCAAUGAGAUUGUUUGUCAAUUUCCUCUACCUCAUAUUUAGAUUUUAAUGGCUUUCGAUGGGAUAUAGCAAUUAUAUUUUGACAUAACUAAACAAUAAUCUGUAUUGUGUGACUACUUAGGAAGUAUUGGUAAUGUUGUACUAUUAAACGUUUACUAGUUGCCUAGAGUAUUUCUCAUUGAGUAACUUUGCAUGCCCCAUGCUAUACAAGUGACUUGAUAGACUCUAAUAAAACAGUCCCAGAAUUUGUUGUAAAUUCCCCCUAGUGCUUAAGCUGAUAUCUGAGUCACCAUAGUUUCCAAAUUAAGUACUUCCAGAAGCAGCCAAAGAGAUACAAGACGACAAUUAAUGCUGAUCAAGCCAAGAAAUCAAAAAUAUAAAAAUAAAAAAAAUAGGAGUGGGGAGCAAGGGGAAAG
rnacentral:lncRNA from 10 species